rnacentral:lncRNA from 1 species
UUACAUUAAUGCCUGUUUUUUGGUUUAGAUAUGCGUAUGUAAUUUGAUUUCGUUCAUUCAUUCAUUCAAUAGUAUUUAUGGAGCCCUUACUGUGUGCAGAGCACUGUACUAAGCGCUUGGGACGAACAAGUCGGCAACAGAUAGAGACGGUCCCUGCCGUCUGACGGGCUCACGGUCCGAUCGGGGGAGACGGACGGACGAGAACGAUGGCGAUGAAUAGAGUCGAGGGGAAGAACGUCUCGUAAAAACCGAUGGCGACUAAAUAGAAUCGAGGCGAUGUACAUUUCGUUAACAAAAUAAAUGGGGUAAUGAAACUGAUGGGCUGCCUCUUUACUUGUUUUGAUGUCUGUCUCCCCGCUCCUAGACUGUAAACCCGACGUGGCAGGGAUUAUCCCUCUUUAUUGCUGAGUUGUACUAAGUGCUUAGCACCGUGCGCUUACUGCACGCAGUAAGCGCUCAAUAAAUACGACCGAAUGAACGAAUGAAUGGCACAUAGUAAGCGCUUAACAAAAACCAACAUUAUUAUUAUUCUAAAUACGACUGUGACUACUCUGGGCAUUACUACUAUUACAAGCCCAAUUAACAAGGCCAAGGGGAACCCAAUUAGCUUUGAUUAAUGGAGGCUCUUCCAGGAAGUACCUACUACAUAACAGACCUCUGCAGGAAGUAAGUCUGGUUUCCCAGUGAAUUAUUGCAAGGCACUCUCUUUAACUACUAGCCCAGACAAAACACUUCCAGACAUCCUCUUUUAUACCCACAGGGAAGGAAGUUCCUUGAGGGCAGAAGCUCCGUCUUCUACUCAGAGUGGGAAUGGAGGGCCGUGGCUCUGCUAGCCCGGGGGCUUCCCCAUCAGGAUUGAGACCAUCAUUCAGUUCCAAGUGCCAAAGAACACGUAAUCGGGGAAACAAGAGGACUGCAGUUUGUCAGAUAAUUCUCCUCCGCUCCCUUUGGCCUCUCGGAAAUCAGGAGCAGAAACCCUCUGCUGUAUUGAACUUCCAUUUUUUAACUUUUUUUUUUUUCCUAGAGUGAAUGCUCUUCCAUUAUAAACUUUUCCUUCAGGCCCAAUUCCUUUCAGUUCGUUCCAGCAAAUGAAAAUCCUCUUGUAAUGAGCGACUGUUAUAAUGAAGAAUCAUUGGCAACACAGCAUAUUUUAAUGGACAAAUUACUCUAAAUUAAGCUCUUGCCAUCUGUUCUAUUCUCAUUUACGAUUGUAAGAAGAACAUAUUUUACAAUUACAACAGUAAAAAAUAAUAUAUAAGCGACUGAAGUACAGAGUAUGGAUUAUGCGUGUGUGUUCAUACAGGGCGAUAUGCAGAUGGCGAUGAUGAUGUCUUCAGCCUCUAGGCACAAAUGGAGGAGAAAAUGGUUAAUUUUGGACACAAUAAAUUUGCAGUUAUUAUGAAGCAUUUGCAUGUCAAAAAGGACUCUGCUACGACGGGAUUUCAUUGGUUAUUAAUCUCCAAAGCGGAGAGCUUCUUCAUAGGAUCCCUAAAUACUGAGCCAACCUCAUUCUCGCUGUGACCCACAGGGAGUUUCAAGAUAGCAGAGACAUAAAAGGCAAGCGACAUUAUUUUAGCGGAUGAGGGAAUUGAAGUUGUACUAUAUCACUUUCCAUAGCUACUAAUGGUUAUGACAACACCCAGAAGCCAUACCGGGAUUUUAGUCAAAGCACCCACUGAUAGCUAUUUAAAAGCAAAGAAGAGUGAGUUUCCUGCAGCUAUACCCAUUGGUGAAAUGCUAUAGUGGCUGAUAACGUUGGGAAGGAAUUAAAAACGCAGUAGCAGCAAAAUGGGAAGCAAUUUGGGAGUGAUCUUACGAACUAGAUGAGGCAAUUCAGCCUAUUCACGCAUUCACUCAAUCGUAUUCACUGAGCGCUAUCUGUGUGCAGAGCACUGUAUUAAGCACUUGGGAGAGCAUAAUUCAGCAAUAAACAAACACAGUCCCUGCUCACAGUGAGCUUACAGUCUAGAGACCGUUGACUUUUCUGUCUUUCCACCCCUUUUCCUACCUUUCAUUCUUUUGAGGAUUUGGAUUUCUGUCCCCCACUGAUUCAUUGCCUAAAGCGGGACGGAGCCCUUCGGUUCGUCCAGUGGAAAUAGCACAGCGCUGGGACCUGGAAGACGUGAAUUCUAGUACCUGCUCUGCAAGCAGGGGACUCGGUCAAUCGUGUGGUCUAGUGGAAAGAGCACGGGCCUGGGAGUCAGAGGAUUGUGCUGUUUGCUGUGUAGCGUUAUUAUGUAAGCCACUUAGCGUCUCAAUCAAUAAGUAGAUCAGUUACCUCAUCUAUAAAAUGAGGAUUAAAUCUCCCUCCCUUCAACUUAGACUGGGAACCCAAUGCUGUGUACAGCACACUAACCUGUACCUACCCCAAGGCUUAGUACAGUGUUUGGCACAUAAUAAGCGCUUUACAUAUACCUUAAAUUUAUUAUUAUUAACAUCAUCAUGAUCAUUAAUGAUAUUUAUUGAGCGCUUACUGUGUGCUCUGCUAUGCUAAGUGUUUGGGAGAGUACAAUUCAAUAGUUAGUAGACAGGUCCCCUGCCCUUGAGGAGAUUCCAUUAUAGAGGGGAAGACAGAUCUUAAAACAAAUUGCCACAAUACAUACCAUAAGUGCUGUGGCACCGAAGGUGAGAUGAAUAUCAAGUGCUUAAAGGGUAUGAAUUCAAGUGCCAGGGAGACAUUGAUAGGGGAAAUGAGAAUUUAUUUGGGGAGGGGCUCUUGGAAGAUGGUGGGUUGGUGAGGAAAGUGGUGGUCUGUUGUACAUCGGCGGGGAGGAGUUUCAAGCCCAAGGGAGGAUGAGGGCAAGGGGUUAAUGGUGAGAUGGAUGUCACUGAGGCAUGGUGAGUAGAAUGGGGUUAGAACAGAGAAAUGUGUGGCCCAGAUUGAGGUAAGAAGUCCCCAAAGUUAAAUAGGAGGGAACAAGGCCCACGAG